AUUGAACGCUGGCGGCAGGCCUAACACAUGCAAGUCGAGCGGAUGAAGGGAGCUUGCUCCUGGAUUCAGCGGCGGACGGGUGAGUAAUGCCUAGGAAUCUGCCUGGUAGUGGGGGAUAACGUCCGGAAACGGGCGCUAAUACCGCAUACGUCCUGAGGGAGAAAGUGGGGGAUCUUCGGACCUCACGCUAUCAGAUGAGCCUAGGUCGGAUUAGCUAGUUGGUGGGGUAAAGGCCUACCAAGGCGACGAUCCGUAACUGGUCUGAGAGGAUGAUCAGUCACACUGGAACUGAGACACCGUCCAUACUCCUACGGUAGGCAGCAGUGGGGAAUAUUGGACAAUGGUCGAAAGCCUUAUCCAGCCAUGCCGCGUGUGUGAAGAAGGUCUUCCGAUUGUAAAGCACUUUAAGUUGGUAUGAAGGGCAGUAAGUUAAUACCUUGCUGUUUUGACGUUACCAACAGAAUAAGCACCGGCUAACUUCGUG
rnacentral:rRNA from 1 species